GGUGCUGGACGUUGGUGUGCUGCGUAAGGGGGUUAAAAGGAAGGGGGUUGCGAUUUGUGGUCGCGUAUCUGCUGUUCUUGCUAGCUGUGCGAGAGGAGUUGGGGGAAAAAAGAAGCCGUGGUGGUUAUUUGGAAGUGCAGCUCUGCCUUGAGCAUGGAUAGUGAGGAAAGCCCCCGGCUGGGUCUGUGCUGAGGACUGUAGCUUCUCUGGGACAAGGCCUUCUGUGUGCCGAAUGCAAAUCGUAGAAUCCUCACCAAGAAUCGUUAACUAUGCCACAUGUGGAGGAGAAAAGCCAGUCUGAGCCAUAGCCUGCCUGGGCUGAUGGUGAAGAGAGCUGUGCAGGUAGUGGGGGCAACACAGAAAGCCUAGGGCUGAUACCAAGCUUGGAGAAGACCCAGGAAGUGCAAUCUUCUGCCCUAGACCUGGGCAGGAGGGAUGUAUCCAAGCCAAAUCAGUUGUGCCAGGAUGUUAAGCAUAAGUCAGUGUAUUCACCGUGGGAGAAAACCUUGUUGCUGCAGCUCCACAAAAAGCUUCCUCCAGCACAAAGGCAGUCAAUGGAAUCUGUAUGCUAGACCCUGUUCUGAUCAUAAACUACCUGUGGGUGUUCAAGCUUUUGACUUGCCUGGGCCACGCCGAGUGAAGAGGAAUUGUCUUGGUCCACGUAUAGAAUAUAUAAUAUAGUUAAUG